AAAUUGAAGAGUUUGAUCAUGGCUCAGAUUGAACGCUGGCGGCAGGCCUAACACAUGCAAGUCGAGCGGUAGCACAGGAGAGCUUGCUCUCUGGGUGACGAGCGGCGGACGGGUGAGUAAUGUCUGGGAAACUGCCUGAUGGAGGGGGAUAACUACUGGAAACGGUAGCUAAUACCGCAUAACGUCUACGGACCAAAGUGGGGGACCUUCGGGCCUCACGCCAUCAGAUGUGCCCAGAUGGGAUUAGCUAGUAGGUGGGGUAAUGGCUCACCUAGGCGACGAUCCCUAGCUGGUCUGAGAGGAUGACCAGCCACACUGGAACUGAGACACGGUCCAGACUCCUACGGGAGGCAGCAGUGGGGAAUAUUGCACAAUGGGCGCAAGCCUGAUGCAGCCAUGCCGCGUGUGUGAAGAAGGCCUUAGGGUUGUAAAGCACUUUCAGCGAGGAGGAAGGGUAGUGUGUUAAUAGCACAUUACAUUGACGUUACUCGCAGAAGAAGCACCGGCUAACUCCGUGCCAGCAGCCGCGGUAAUACGGAGGGUGCAAGCGUUAAUCGGAAUUACUGGGCGUAAAGCGCACGCAGGCGGUUUGUUAAGUCAGAUGUGAAAUCCCCGCGCUUAACGUGGGAACUGCAUUUGAAACUGGCAAGCUAGAGUCUUGUAGAGGGGGGUAGAAUUCCAGGUGUAGCGGUGAAAUGCGUAGAGAUCUGGAGGAAUACCGGUGGCGAAGGCGGCCCCCUGGACAAAGACUGACGCUCAGGUGCGAAAGCGUGGGGAGCAAACAGGAUUAGAUACCCUGGUAGUCCACGCUGUAAACGAUGUCGAUUUGGAGGUUGUGCCCUUGAGGCGUGGCUUCCGGAGCUAACGCGUUAAAUCGACCGCCUGGGGAGUACGGCCGCAAGGUUAAAACUCAAAUGAAUUGACGGGGGCCCGCACAAGCGGUGGAGCAUGUGGUUUAAUUCGAUGCAACGCGAAGAACCUUACCUACUCUUGACAUCCAGAGAACUUUCCAGAGAUGGAUUGGUGCCUUCGGGAACUCUGAGACAGGUGCUGCAUGGCUGUCGUCAGCUCGUGUUGUGAAAUGUUGGGUUAAGUCCCGCAACGAGCGCAACCCUUAUCCUUUGUUGCCAGCGAUUCGGUCGGGAACUCAAAGGAGACUGCCGGUGAUAAACCGGAGGAAGGUGGGGAUGACGUCAAGUCAUCAUGGCCCUUACGAGUAGGGCUACACACGUGCUACAAUGGCGUAUACAAAGAGAAGCGAACUCGCGAGAGCAAGCGGACCUCAUAAAGUACGUCGUAGUCCGGAUUGGAGUCUGCAACUCGACUCCAUGAAGUCGGAAUCGCUAGUAAUCGUAGAUCAGAAUGCUACGGUGAAUACGUUCCCGGGCCUUGUACACACCGCCCGUCACACCAUGGGAGUGGGUUGCAAAAGAAGUAGGUAGCUUAACCUUCGGGAGGGCGCUUACCACUUUGUGAUUCAUGACUGGGGUGAAGUCGUAACAAGGUAACCGUAGGGGAACCUGCGGUUGGAUCACCUCCUUA
rnacentral:rRNA from 1 species